GCCAGGUGUGGUGGCGCACACCUGUAAUCCCAGCAGCUUGGGAGGCUGAGGCAGGAGAAUCACAAGUUCAAAGCCAGCCUCAGCAAUUUAUCAAGGCCCUAAGAAACUCAGUGAGACCCUGUUUCUA
rnacentral:sRNA from 1 species